CUACAUGAUCAACAUUCAUACCCCAAUGCCCUAGCUACCCCUCCUCUCUCUUCUAUAACCUAAUUCCCUACAAUUUCUAUAUAUAUAGCUGCUGCUACCUGCUAUGCAUAAUUACUAGCUCAAAUAUAUACAUACUACAAUCCUCUAGAGAGAGAAAGAGAGAUAAUAUAUUACUAAUAAAAAUGGAGAUUGUGGCUGAGCAGAUGUGCUACAUCCCUUGCAACUUCUGCAGUAUUAUUCUUGCGGGGUUAUGAUAAGGAAGAUAACGGCUGCUCGAGCUUAUGAUUAGCACCAAUGAAGUAUUGGGGAACUACCACAACAACAAAUUUUCCGAUGAGUAACUAUGAGAAAGAGAUUGAGGAAAUGAAGCAUAUGACAAGGCAGGAAUAUGUAGCAUCUUUGAGAAGGUGCAGAAGCCUACGACAUCGCCGCGAUCAAAUUUCGAGGCCUAAACGCCGUCAUCAACUUGGAAAUAAACCGUUACGACGUGAAGAGCAUACUCGAGAGCACGACCCUAGUCUAGUUGAUUGAUGGAAAUUUCCAGUGCCUUCUUUUUCUAUUUUGGGUUAGGCUGAGAAAUUAUUUAAUAACUUUUAAAAAAAAAAAAAGGUUUUGUUGGGAGAGUUCGAUGGACUUUUGUGGUAUUUAGAGAAAAUAAUAAACAAAUUAAGUAAACUGCA